UUGAAAUACCACCCUUUAAUGUUUGAUGUUCUAACGUUGACCCGUAAUCCGGGUUGCGGACAGUGUCUGGUGGGUAGUUUGACUGGGGCGGUCUCCUCCUAAAGAGUAACGGAGGAGCACGAAGGUUGGCUAAUCCUGGUCGGACAUCAGGAGGUUAGUGCAAUGGCAUAAGCCAGCUUGACUGCGAGCGUGACGGCGCGAGCAGGUGCGAAAGCAGGUCAUAGUGAUCCGGUGGUUCUGAAUGGAAGGGCCAUCGCUCAACGGAUAAAAGGUACUCCGGGGAUAACAGGCUGAUACCGCCCAAGAGUUCAUAUCGACGGCGGUGUUUGGCACCUCGAUGUCGGCUCAUCACAUCCUGGGGCUGAAGUAGGUCCCAAGGGUAUGGCUGUUCGCCAUUUAAAGUGGUACGCGAGCUGGGUUUAGAACGUCGUGAGACAGUUCGGUCCCUAUCUGCCGUGGGCGCUGGAGAACUGAGGGGGGCUGCUCCUAGUACGAGAGGACCGGAGUGGACGCAUCACUGGUGUUCGGGUUGUCAUGCCAAUGGCACUGCCCGGUAGCUAAAUGCGGAAGAGAUAAGUGCUGAAAGCAUCUAAGCACGAAACUUGCCCCGAGAUGAGUUCUCCCUGACUCCUUGAGAGUCCUGAAGGAACGUUGAAGACGACGACGUUGAUAGGCCGGGUGUGUAAGCGCAGCGAUGCGUUGAGCUAACCGGUACUAAUGAACCGUGAGG
rnacentral:rRNA from 1 species